rnacentral:rRNA from 1 species
UAGGGAAUCUUCCGCAAUGGGCGAAAGCCUGACGGAGCAACGCCGCGUGAGUGAUGAAGGUCUUCGGAUCGUAAAACUCUGUUAUUAGGGAAGAACAAAUGUGUAAGUAACUAUGCACGUCUUGACGGUACCUAAUCAGAAAGCCACGGCUAACUACGUGCCAGCAGCCGCGGUAAUACGUAGGUGGCAAGCGUUAUCCGGAAUUAUUGGGCGUAAAGCGCGCGUAGGCGGUUUUUUAAGUCUGAUGUGAAAGCCCACGGCUCAACCGUGGAGGGUCAUUGGAAACUGGAAAACUUGAGUGCAGAAGAGGAAAGUGGAAUUCCAUGUGUAGCAGUGAAAUGCGCAGAGAUAUGGAGGAACACCAGUGGCGAAGGCGACUUUCUGGUCUGUAACUGACGCUGAUGUGCGAAAGCGUGGAGAUCAAACAGG